CUCAAUGACAAGCCGGGAGUUGAUAAGCCAUUACCAAAGUCUCUUAAUGCCUACUGAAACUACUGCUUACCCAAAGUUUUGUGUCUGCAAAUCGUUUUUGGAAGCAAGAAUGAUGUGUCAUAUAAAUGAACAGGCUGUAACGUUCUAUUGACCUAGACUAAGUAAUGAGUGGGGCAAACAAAGAUGCAAUGGAAGAAUUGAGCAGAUAAGUCCAUCACUGCUGGGACCAGGCAGAGAGUGGGCAGCUCUCCCUUGCACUCAACUCCUUCACAUUCACUCCUUCCGCAAAGUGAAAGAAUGAGACUUGAAGAUAUCUCUGAGAGCAACUUGCUCACCAGGACUCUCAAGAUCUAAGAAAUGAGUGGCAAUGAAAGUUUAAUAUUUCAGAUCUACACCAGAGACUAAAAAAUGUGAUGACAUCCUCUUUGGAUCUAGAUGUAGCAGCAAAUAAUUACAAAGUUCAUGGGAAGAUGAUGUAAGUGAAAGCAUGUUGCACCCUGAAUUCAUGUAAUGGUUAAUUUUAUGUGUCAGCUUGCCUAGGUUAUGAUGUCCAGUUGUUUGGUCCAACCACUGGCAUAAUUGUCACCGUGGGGGUAUUUUGUAGGUGGGAUUAGCAUCGGCAAUCAGUUGACCUUAAGUAGAGGAGAUUCUCCUUCAUGUUGAGAGUGGGCCUCAUCCAAUCAGUUGGAGGUCUUAAU